rnacentral:lncRNA from 1 species
AAAACCAAGCAUAAAUACAAGGGCCCAAAACCUAAAAAAUAAAAUAAAAUUCAAUAUCAUCCAAAGAGAAGAAACAAAAACGAAAGAAACCACCCAACUGUAAUCAAAUAAAAGUGUGCACAGAAACACACACACACACACACACACACACACACGGCUUAUUUGUUGGUCAACUAUUCCUGAACAUAAGACCUUCCCUGAAAGGCUUGGUCUUCGCAGUGUCAUUGCACUAAAGAAAACUGGUUUUUCUCUCUCCCAACAGGUAGAUCAGGGAGAGAAGGAAUUG